GAUGAAGAACGUAGCGAAAUGCGAUAAGUAAUGUGAAUUGCAGAAUUCCGUGAAUCAUCGAAUCUUUGAACGCACAUUGCGCCCCCUGGUAUUCCGGGGGGCAUGCCUGUCCGAGCGUCAUUGCUGCCCUCAAGCACGGCUUGUGUGUUGGGCCUCCGUCCUCCUCCCGGGGGACGGGCCCGAAAGGCAGCGGCGGCACCGCGUCCGGUCCUCGAGCGUAUGGGGCUUCGUCACCCGCUCUUGUAGGCCCGGCCGGCGCUUGCCGACACAUCAAUCUUUUUUCCAGGUUGACCUCGGAUCAGGUAGGGAUACCCGCUGAACUUAAGCAUAUCAAUAAGCGGAGGA
rnacentral:misc_RNA from 1 species